rnacentral:rRNA from 1 species
UACAGAGGGUGCAAGCGUUAAUCGGAAUUACUGGGCGUAAAGCGCGCGUAGGUGGUUUGUUAAGUUGGAUGUGAAAUCCCCGGGCUCAACCUGGGAAUGGCAAUGGAUACUGGCAGGCUAGAGUGCGGUAGAGGGUAGUGGAAUUCCCGGUGUAGCGGUGAAAUGCGUAGAGAUCGGGAGGAACACCAGUGGCGAAGGCGGCUACCUGGACCAGCACUGACACUGAGGCACGAAAGCGUGGGGAGCAAACAGG